rnacentral:rRNA from 1 species
UCGAUCGUGAACAAAUCAAUGUGAUCCAAGCAGGCAUUGCAUUUGAAAGCUCGAAUAUAUUAGCAUGAAACCCAAUAUAUAAGCUGUUACACUCGUGUAGCAGUUGAUUGUAUAAUAGGAGGCUGAAAUACGAUACUGGUAUUGCUGGCGCAGAGGUGAAACUCCGACAUUCUAGCAAGACCACCUGAAGCGAAAGCUGACAUAUCUUUCACGCCUCCAUUGAUCAGGAACGAAAGUUAGGGGAUCGAAGAUGAUUAGAUACCGUCGUAGUCCUAACUGUAAACCAUACCGCCAGGCGAUUGGUAAGAAACAAACGCGAUCUCCUCAGAAGCCCAGGGAAACCAAAAGGUAUUGGGUUCUGGGGGAAGUAUAGUUGCAAGGCCGAAACUUAAAGGAAUUGACGGAAAGGCACCACCAGGGGUGGAGUCUGCGGCUCAAUUCGACUCAACACGGGAAAACUCACCAAGGCAGUAUAGUAUAAUGAUUGACAAGUUAAUAGCCUUUUCUUGAUGCUCUAAUAGGUGGUGCAUGGCCGUUCUUAGUUCGUGGAGUGAUCUGUCUAGUUAAUUCUGUUAACGAACGAGACCUUUACCAUUGAUUGCAUGGUUGUUCGUUUACUUCGGUGAACACAGCCUUACAGUAGUGUGUGACUUUGUCUCCACUACAGUUAUACUACAAUGGGACGAUACAGCAAUCAAAGCGUAAGGAAGUUAGAGGCAAUAACAGGUCUGUGAUGCUCUAAUAUGUCUUGGGCUGCACGCGUACUACAAUGGUGCUACCAACAUGUAAGCACAGAUCAAGUCUAUGCACUAGCAUUAGACGAGACUCUCCAACGUUACUAAGACGGAGGUAAACACUAAAGUGGCAUCCUGUCUGGAAUAGAAGACUGUAAUGUCAACUUGAACAAGGAAUCCCUUGUAAGCGUGAGUCAACAUCUCGCAUUGACUACGUCCCUGCCUUUUGUACACACCGCCCGUCGCUCCUACCGUUGGAUUUGAAGGUGAGCUUGGUGGAUGUCACAUACAUUGCUUGCAGUGUAUACAGAAACCAAACAAAUCUUCUUGUCUGUAGGAAGGAGAAGUCGUAACAAGGUUUUCGUAGGUGAACCUGCAGAAGGAUCA